CCUACGGGUGGCAGCAGUGGGGAAUUUUGGACAAUGGGCGCAAGCCUGAUCCAGCUAUUCCGCGUGUGGGAAGACGGCCUUCGGGUUGUAAACCACUUUUGUAGAGAACGAAAAGUCUAUUAAUAAUACCGAUAGAUGAUGACGGUACUCUAAGAAUAAGCACCGGCUAACUACGUGCCAGCAGCCGCGGUAAUACGUAGGGUGCGAGCGUUAAUCGGAAUUACAGGGCGUAAAGGGUGUGCAGGCGGUUUUGCAAGAUGGAUGUGAAAGCCCCGGGCUUAACCUGGGAAAGCCAUACAUGACUGCAAGACUAGAGUGCGUCAGAGGGUGGUGGAAUUCCAAGUGUAGCAGUGAAAUGCGUAGAUAUUUGGAAGAACACCGAUGGCGAAGGCAGCCCCCUGGGACGCAACUGACGCUCAUACACGAAAGCGUGGGGAGCAAACAGGAUUAGAUACCCUUGUAGUC
rnacentral:rRNA from 1 species